AAGUCGUAACAAGGUUUGCGUAGGUGAACCUGCGGAAGGAUCAUUAACACGUAUCCAACGUUAAACAAUUCUGUGAACCUUGAACGUGCUCGCAAUCCCUGGUAAGUCAUUGUUGACCAGCUAUUGAGUUAGGGACAUCUGCUUUAAAACGAUGCGAUACGAGCGCCAGAGUAAGUGCGGCCUGGCAUCCUAGCAAUCUGUCAGUGGUUGCGCAAGGAUGGCGCAGUAAACGAUCGCUGUAGGCCCACACGGCCGGCGACCGGGCCUCUGUGCUUCGGCACCUAACGACCCCAUGUUUCGUACCGGUGCGCUGUAACAACCACCACAAACUCGAACAACUGUUAACAAUGGAUAUCUUGGUUCUC
rnacentral:misc_RNA from 1 species